rnacentral:lncRNA from 1 species
AGGAAGUAUUAGAUAAGAGAUGUAGACGUCGUAGUUGCUUUAAACAUGAACUCCGUAGAAUAAUAUAUUCCUAAGUGGAUUUUAUAUUCAGACGUACCAUGAGUGAUUUGACAUAAGUUAUUCAAACAUAUGGACCGUGUAUUAGUUGAGUUAAAGAAUUGUUACUGAUACCAAUCCUAUCCAGUUGAACAACCGGAACUGCGGAAGUGUCUCUUUGGAAAACCUGCGUUGUGGUCGUGCUCAGUAAUCCAAUGCACAAGAUUUGACAUUUUUGUGUCCGAUUUCGUUAAUUGUUUAACCACAUAUUAUACAAGUUGAGUGUAUAUUUUUAUUCCAAAAUUUGAAGUUUAGCUUUAUAAGUCUUAUCAUUAUAAAAAAAUCGACGAAAAUGCUUUCAUAGAAU